rnacentral:rRNA from 1 species
GACGAACGCUGGCGGCGUGCUUAACACAUGCAAGUCGAACGGAAAGGCCCUGCUUUUGUGGGGUGCUCGAGUGGCGAACGGGUGAGUAACACGUGAGUAACCUGCCCUUGACUUUGGGAUAACUUCAGGAAACUGGGGCUAAUACCGGAUAGGAGCUCCUGCUGCAUGGUGGGGGUUGGAAAGUUUCGGCGGUUGGGGAUGGACUCGCGGCUUAUCAGCUUGUUGGUGGGGUAGUGGCUUACCAAGGCUUUGACGGGUAGCCGGCAUGAGAGGGUGACCGGCCACAUUGGGACUGAGAUACGGACCAGAAUCCUACGGGAGGCAGCAGUGGGGAAUAUUGCACAAUGGGCGGAAGCCUGAUGCAGCAACGCCGCGUGCGGGAUGACGGCCUUCGGGUUGUAAACCGCUUUCGCCUGUGACGAAGCGUGAGUGACGGUAAUGGGUAAAGAAGCACCGGCUAACUACGUG